rnacentral:rRNA from 1 species
UGCGUAGGCGGCCCCGUGUGUCAGAGGUGAAAUCCCACGGCUCAACCGUGGAACUGCCUUUGAAACUGCAGGGCUUGAGUCCGGAAGAGGAAGGUGGAAUUCCUGGUGUAACGGUGAAAUAUGCAGAUAUCAGGAAGAACACCCGUGGCGAAGGCGGCCUUCUGGUCCGGUACUGACGCUGAGGCACGAAAGCUAGGGUAUCAAACG